GAGAACGAGGAGAAGAGCAUCUUCCGCAUCCCCUGGAAGCACGCGGGCAAGCAGGACUACAACCGCGAGGAGGACGCCGCGCUCUUCAAGGCUUGGGCACUGUUUAAAGGAAAGUUCCGAGAAGGCAUCGACAAGCCAGACCCUCCUACCUGGAAGACACGUUUACGAUGCGCACUGAACAAGAGCAAUGACUUUGAGGAACUGGUUGAGCGGAGCCAGCUGGACAUCUCAGACCCGUACAAAGUGUACAGGAUUGUUCCUGAGGGAGCCAAGAAAGGAGCCAAGCAGCUCGCCCUGGAGGACCCGCAGAUGUCCAUGAGCCACCCCUACACCAUGACAACGCCUU
rnacentral:sRNA from 1 species